AAGUCGUAACAAGGUUUCCGUAGGUGAACCUGCGGAAGGAUCAUUACAAAACAAAAUCCAAAUCAACACCAAUGUGCUCUUAACUGCAAAAGGUCUUUGUGUGUGAGUGAGUUUAAACGUUUGUGUAAGAAUGUUUUGCGUGCGUGGCGCAAAACAAAAUGAAAAAAAACUCGCAAAGCUGUGGGGGUGAGAAAUCGCUGCCUGCCUUUUUGUGUGUUUUUUUGAUUUUCUUUCUUACACACACACACACACACACACAAACUUUUGCUUGUCUUUGUUUUCAAUUUUUUCUUAAACUCCUUGUUCAACAAACAAUGGAUUACAAUGUUAAAACUUGAAACAAAAAACAAAAACAAAAUGACAACUUUUAACGGUGGAUCUCUUGGCUCGU
rnacentral:misc_RNA from 1 species